CAGUCUUCUGGAAGGAUGUCAAAACCGUUGCUUAUGAUUGCUAGUAACAUACGUAUACUUGAAUCAGUGAGGCAACAGUAUAAAAAAACUCAUGACUUGUUGUCUUCUCAGUAUUCUUAUGAGCUUCUUCUGGAAUUUCUGCAUAAGUCUCAAUCUACCACUGUACUUGGUAUUAUCAAUGAGCAUAUCAACUUUCAAGUUUCUCCUGGACAGCCCAACUCAAUUUUUGAUGAUGCGGAGGCUGUUACAUUGACUGGAAGCAGCCAGGAUGCAGUCAGUCAGAUUAAUCAGAAGGAAAUACAUUGGGGGUUGCUGGAAGACUCUUUGGAAGAACGCUUGGAAAAGACUGGGGGUUGGCUUUCUGAUUCUGAAAAGGCAGAAGGAGAAACUAAAGAGUCGGAGUGGGAGGAAAAUAAGAAAAGAUCAGCAGAAGGAGGAAAGCAGGGCUCAUCAGUUAAAAAGCUGAAAAAAGACAAGGCAACGGGAGCAACAGGGAAAGCCACUCGUCCUGAGACAAACAUUGUAACUAUGGCACCAAGAGUCAAACCAGAGCUUCCUUUGCCUACAAUUUCAGUCGAGGUUGAGCAGUCUAUACUUGAUCACAGUAGAUUUUGUAAUAAGAAAACAGAGACAUAUCUUGUCAUGAAAAGAAUCUGGACUUGAGGCUGGAUCUGUGCACCAAAAGAACUGUAACUACUUUUACUGAUGAUGACUUGGAAAGCCUCAAAUUUUUGAUAAAUUCUGCUAGAUGUUAGGCACCCAAUAAAAGAGAGUUUGAACAAGUUCCCUCGAAGGACUAGUACACCAUCUGGGGUUCACAGUCAAGCACAACAAGCUAAAGAACAACUACAACAUCAGCAACAACAGCA